rnacentral:rRNA from 1 species
AACGAACGCUGGCGGCAUGCCUAACACAUGCAAGUCGAACGAAGCCUUCGGGCUUAGUGGCGCACGGGUGCGUAACGCGUGGGAAUCUGCCUCUUGCUUCGGAAUAACAGUUAGAAAUGACUGCUAAUACCGGAUGAUGUCUUCGGACCAAAGAUUUAUCGGCAAGAGAUGAGCCCGCGUAGGAUUAGGUAGUUGGUGGGGUAAAGGCCUACCAAGCCGACGAUCCUUAGCUGGUCUGAGAGGAUGAUCAGCCACACUGGGACUGAGACACGGCCCAGACUCCUACGGGAGGCAGCAGUGGGGAAUAUUGGACAAUAGACGCAAGUCUGAUCCAGCAAUGCCGCGUGAGUGAUGAAGGCCUUAGGGUUGUAAAGCUCUUUUACCAGGGAUGAUAAUGACAGUACCUGGAGAAUAAGCUCCUGCUAACUCCGUGCCAGCAGCCGCCGCAGUAA